rnacentral:rRNA from 1 species
GAUGAACGCUGGCGGCGUGCCUAAUACAUGCAAGUCGAGCGAACGGACGAGAAGCUUGCUUCUCUGAUGUUAGCGGCGGACGGGUGAGUAACACGUGGAUAACCUACCUAUAAGACUGGGAUAACUUCGGGAAACCGGAGCUAAUACCGGAUAAUAUUUUGAACCGCAUGGUUCAAAAGUGAAAGACGGUCUUGCUGUCACUUAUAGAUGGAUCCGCGCUGCAUUAGCUAGUUGGUAAGGUAACGGCUUACCAAGGCAACGAUGCAUAGCCGACCUGAGAGGGUGAUCGGCCACACUGGAACUGAGACACGGUCCAGACUCCUACGGGAGGCAGCAGUAGGGAAUCUUCCGCAAUGGGCGAAAGCCUGACGGAGCAACGCCGCGUGAGUGAUGAAGGUCUUCGGAUCGUAAAACUCUGUUAUUAGGGAAGAACAUAUGUGUAAGUAACUGUGCACAUCUUGACGGUACCUAAUCAGAAAGCCACGGCUAACUACGUGCCAGCAGCCGCGGUAAUACGUAGGUGGCAAGCGUUAUCCGGAAUUAUUGGGCGUAAAGCGCGCGUAGGCGGUUUUUUAAGUCUGAUGUGAAAGCCCACGGCUCAACCGUGGAGGGUCAUUGGAAACUGGAAAACUUGAGUGCAGAAGAUUGAAAGUGGAAUUCCAUGUGUAGCGGUGAAAUGCGCAGAGAUAUGGAGGAACACCAGUGGCGAAGGCGACUUUCUGGUCUGUAACUGACGCUGAUGUGCGAAAGCGUGGGGAUCAAACAGGAUUAGAUACCCUGGUAGUCCACGCCGUAAACGAUGAGUGCUAAGUGUUAGGGGGUUUCCGCCCCUUAGUGCUGCAGCUAACGCAUUAAGCACUCCGCCUGGGGAGUACGACCGCAAGGUUGAAACUCAAAGGAAUUGACGGGGACCCGCACAAGCGGUGGAGCAUGUGGUUUAAUUCGAAGCAACGCGAAGAACCUUACCAAAUCUUGACAUCCUUUGACAACUCUAGAGAUAGAGCUUUCCCCUUCGGGGGACAAAGUGACAGGUGGUGCAUGGUUGUCGUCAGCUCGUGUCGUGAGAUGUUGGGUUAAGUCCCGCAACGAGCGCAACCCUUAAGCUUAGUUGCCAUCAUUAAGUUGGGCACUCUAAGUUGACUGCCGGUGACAAACCGGAGGAAGGUGGGGAUGACGUCAAAUCAUCAUGCCCCUUAUGAUUUGGGCUACACACGUGCUACAAUGGACAAUACAAAGGGCAGCGAAACCGCGAGGUCAAGCAAAUCCCAUAAAGUUGUUCUCAGUUCGGAUUGUAGUCUGCAACUCGACUACAUGAAGCUGGAAUCGCUAGUAAUCGUAGAUCAGCAUGCUACGGUGAAUACGUUCCCGGGUCU